rnacentral:rRNA from 1 species
CCUACGGGUGGCAGCAGUGGGGAAUUUUGGACAAUGGGGGCAACCCUGAUCCAGCCAUUCCGCGUGAGUGAAGAAGGCCUUCGGGUUGUAAAGCUCUUUUGUCCGGAACGAAACGGUUAGUUCUAAUACGACUGACUACUGACGGUACCGGAAGAAUAAGCACCGGCUAACUACGUGCCAGCAGCCGCGGUAAUACGUAGGGUGCGAGCGUUAAUCGGAAUUACUGGGCGUAAAGCGUGCGCAGGCGGUUUUGUAAGCCAGAUGUGAAAUCCCCG